AGAGAGAGACAUGCGCGCAUAUCAAUAAGCGGAGGAAAAGAAACUAACUAGGAUUCCCUCAGUAACGGCGAGUGAAGCGGGAAGAGCUCAAAUUUGAAAUCUUCAAGGUUCUACCUUGACGAAUUGUAGUUUAAAGAAGUGUUUUCUGUUGGAGUUUUGGUAAAAGUUCUUUGGAAUAGGACAUCAUAGAGGGUGAGAAUCCCGUAUUUGACCAUUAUUUCCAGCUUUGUGAUACACUUUCAAAGAGUCGGAUUGUUUGGGAAUGCAGUCCAAAAUGGGUGGUAAAUUUCAUCUAAAGCUAAAUACUGGCGAGAGACCGAUAGCGAACAAGUACCGUGAGGGAAAGAUGAAAAGAACUUUGAAAAGAGAGUUAAACAGUACGUGAAAUUGUCAAAAGGGAAGCGUUUGACACCAGUGUUGUUUUCUCGAAAAUCAAUUAAAAAUGGCAGGAUUUUGUGUUGUAUUGACUUUAUCAGCUUUCUGCACUUUUUCUUGUCUUUUUUAAUGCACUUUUCGUUUAACAAGUCAACAUCAAUUUCUUUUGUUGUAAAAGGGUCAUUGGAAGGUGGCUUUCUUUUCGGAGAAAGUGUUUAUAGCCUUUGGCUUCUGCAAUCGGAGAGAUUGAGGUCUGCAGCGUAGAUCCUUCGGGGUUAGAUGCAUUUGUGCUAAGUUAUAGCCUUUCAUAGACAACUUGUUGACUAUGAUCAGUCAUGUAGCUUACUCGCUUAUGUCAUUUUACCUACGCUUAGGAUGUUGACAGCAGUAUAGACUGU
rnacentral:rRNA from 1 species